rnacentral:rRNA from 1 species
UGGGGAAUUUUGGACAAUGGGGGCAACCCUGAUCCAGCCAUUCCGCGUGAGUGAAGAAGGCCUUCGGGUUGUAAAGCUCUUUCGCAAGGGAAGAAACGAUAUAGGUUAAUAGCCUAUGUUAAUGACGGUACCUUGACAAGAAGCACCGGCUAACUACGUGCCAGCAGCCGCGGUAAUACGGAGGGUGCAAGCGUUAAUCGGAAUUACUGGGCGUAAAGCGCGCGUAGGCGGUUAUUUAAGUCAGAUGUGAAAUCCCUGGGCUCAACCUAGGAACUGCAUUUGAUACUGGAUAACUAGAGUAUGGUAGAGGUGAGUGGAAUUUCAGGUGUAGCGGUGAAAUGCGUAGAGAUCUGAAGGAACAUCAGUGGCGAAGGCGACUCACUGGGCCAUUACUGACGCUGAGGUGCGAAAGCGUGGGUAGCAAACA